GAUGAAGAACGCAGCGAAAUGCGAUAAGUAAUGCGAAUUGCAGAAUUCAGUAAGUCAUCGAAUCUUUGAACGCACAUUGCGCCCUGUGGUAUUCCGCAGGGCAUGCCUGUUCGAGCGUCAUUUCAACCCUCAAGCUCCGCUUGGUGUUGGGCCCUGCCCCCGCGGCCGGCCCCAAAGACAGUGGCGGCGCCGCUCGGCCCUAAGCGUAGUACAUCUCUCGCUCUAGGACCCGGCGGUGGCCUGCCAGAACCCCCAACUCAUGUGGUUGACCUCGGAUCAGGUAGGGAUACCCGCUGAACUUAAGCAUAUCAAUAAGCGGAGGA
rnacentral:misc_RNA from 1 species